UACAGAGGGUGCGAGCGUUAAUCGGAAUUACGGGGCGUAAAGCGUGCGUAGACGGUUAUUUAAGUCGGGUGUGAAAGCCCCGGGCUCAACCUGGGAAUUGCAUUCGAGACUGAAUAGCUAGGGUACGGUAGAGGGAAGUGGAAUUUCCGGUGUAGCGGUGAAAUGCGUAGAUAUCGGAAGGAACAUCAGUGGCGAAAGCGACUUCCUGGACCAGUACCGACGUUCAGGCACGAAAGCGUGGGGAGCAAACAGG
rnacentral:rRNA from 1 species